UACGUAGGGUGCGAGCGUUGUCCGGAAUUAUUGGGCGUAAAGAGCUCGUAGGCGGUCUGUCGCGUCGGCUGUGAAAUCCCGAGGCUCAACCUCGUGUCUGCAGUCGAUACGGGCAAACUAGAGUAUUGCAGGGGAGACUGGAAUUCCUGGUGUAGCGGUGAAAUGCGCAGAUAUCAGGAGGAACACCGGUGGCGAAGGCGGGUCUCUGGGCAAUAACUGACGCUGAGGAGCGAAAGCGUGGGGAGCGAACAGG
rnacentral:rRNA from 1 species